ACACAUGAUUAAUUACAUGGAUUCUCAUUCAGCUAAUGACUUGCUGCUGAAACAUAGAAAUCUGAAUUUU
rfam:Callithrix jacchus chromosome X, whole genome shotgun sequence